rnacentral:rRNA from 1 species
CCCUUUGUGAACAUACCUAUAACUGUUGCUUCGGCGGGUAGGGUCUCCGUGACCCUCCCGGCCUCCCGCCCCCGGGCGGGUCGGCGCCCGCCGGAGGAUAACCAAACUCUGAUUUAACGACGUUUCUUCUGAGUGGUACAAGCAAAUAAUCAAAACUUUUAACAACGGAUCUCUUGGUUCUGGCAUCGAUGAAGAACGCAGCGAAAUGCGAUAAGUAAUGUGAAUUGCAGAAUUCAGUGAAUCAUCGAAUCUUUGAACGCACAUUGCGCCCGCCAGCAUUCUGGCGGGCAUGCCUGUUCGAGCGUCAUUUCAACCCUCAAGCUCUGCUUGGUGUUGGGGCCCUACAGCUGAUGUAGGCCCUCAAAGGUAGUGGCGGACCCUCCCGGAGCCUCCUUUGCGUAGUAACUUUACGUCUCGCACUGGGAUCCGGAGGGACUCUUGCCGUAAAACCCCCAAUUCUCCAAAGGUUGACCUCGGAUCAGGUAGGAAUACCCGCUGAACUUAAGCAUAUCAAAG